rnacentral:rRNA from 1 species
GAGUUUGAUCUUGGCUCAGAUUGAACGCUGGCGGCAUGCCUUACACAUGCAAGUCGAACGGCAGCAUGAUCUAGCUUGCUAGAUUGAUGGCGAGUGGCGAACGGGUGAGUAAUACAUCGGAACGUGCCCUGUAGUGGGGGAUAACUAGUCGAAAGAUUAGCUAAUACCGCAUACGACCUGAGGGUGAAAGUGGGGGACCGCAAGGCCUCAUGCUAUAGGAGCGGCGAUGUCUGAUUAGCUAGUUGGUGGGGUAAAGGCCCACCAAGGCGACGAUCAGUAGCUGGUCUGAGAGGACGAUCAGCCACACUGGGACUGAGACACGGCCCAGACUCCUACGGGAGGCAGCAGUGGGGAAUUUGGACAAUGGGCGAAAGCCUGAUCCAGCAAUGCCGCGUGUGUGAAGAAGGCCUUCGGUUGUAAG